UGACAAAUUCUGGUGACUAAAAUAGGGUCC
rnacentral:piRNA from 1 species